rnacentral:lncRNA from 1 species
AUGGGCACACAAACGUACGUACAUGUAGAUAUCUCACACUCAGGAAUGAGAGGAUGGCAGAUCUAUGGAACAGUCUACCAGCCCAAGCUGUGGAUCAAGAACAAUAUUGGGCUUGAAAAUAGCCCAAGGAAAGACUUAUCAAUAACAAUGGAGUGAUACUACAUGGGUCACUGGUCACCUUCCCUCAACAUGGCCACCUCUAGUUUGGGUGACUAUUAGGUAAAUAUCAGGUCAACUUGCAGCAUAAAGACAACAAACAAAAUCACUUUAUGGACUCAUUAGGCUUCAAAACUUAAUUGGUGGCCGUUCCUUUUUUAUGGUAUUUGAUCUUUAUGCACAUACAGGUAUAGCUACUGUACCAGUAUAUGUUAAACUACUUGAUAGGUAAAUACAUUCCUAAGACCAAGCCCACUAGUUCCAGGACAACUGAGAGCACAAAGAUAAGAAGAAAUCUCCAUUUCAUGACAUGAGUGGCUACAAAUGACAAGCCAAGUCAAAUUGUAGUAGGGCAGAAAAGGAGUUUGAGGUAGAUAAAAAAAACAAAAAAAAAACAAGGUUAGAAUGCUCACAUAUACUGUACUGUAUAGAUUUGAUGGGCGAGAGGGAAACACAGGGUAUGGCCAACUUUCUUUAUUUCUGUAACAUUUCAGGCUACACAGAGCCCAUCUUCAAUGAGAUGGGCUCGGUUUAGCCCGAAACGUUUGAAUAAUAAAGUCAGCUCAACCCAUUGUUUCCCUGCCACUGACCUAUCAAAUCCACUUGUUGUCCAGAGUCUUAUGAGUACCUCAUAGUUCAAAGGAUCAGGCUCCCAAUAUUAAUUUUUGUAAUUCCUUACUCUGCUGUAGUCUGAUUAGUGCCUUAUUGGGAAGAUUCGAAGUUGUUCCAAGGAAUUAAAGAAAUACAAGACUUUGGUGAUAUUUAUUAUGAAACAAGUCUUUUACAAGCAAUUUGAGCUAUGCAGAAGAAUGUGAUUGGCAGCUGUUGCAACAGAGGGGUGAUGUUACGAGAUCAGCAAUAAUGGCCUGGACUUGACCAGAAGCACACAAAUAUUUGGAAUAAAGAUGAAAUCAUGAAAAAUUAUUCAAUAAGGAAAGAAUGAAUUGUUGACCAUCACAUAACUUAAUAUUCAAGUUUGAUUUUUGUGUGAAGAAGUUUCUUGGAUAAAAGAUUACAUUAAUAUUUUUACCUGUUUGAGAAUUUAAAAAAAUAAAGAUUUGAGAAAUAUAAAUAGUUUUGCUUUUCUUGUUCAUACUCUGCCUAACUUAGGGUACAUACAGAUCUAUAUUUAUUGUAUUUUUCAAGGCUUGCACAAGUGUAAUCUUUUACUUGGGUACAAGUUAUUUGUUGUAAUAUAAUCCUUUUCAUUGACAAGAUUUGAAGAGAUCUUUAAUUUUACCAAAUCAUUAUUGCUCAAAUAGAUUAACUUGAAUUGUUGCAGUUUUGCCGUGGAUGAAGUUUUGUCUUAUUACACAAGACAAAUAUUACAAAUAAUUAACCAUUCAGUUACCUCCUGGGUAUAAGUUAGUGGUUUUAUCAUAGAAAUGUGUAUGAUGUUGGGAACGACUUCACAAUCUGUUGCACGGAAUGAGUGAGUCACUAAUGUAUGAAAGUGGUGAAAUGGUGUAAAUAAUAUGUGAAGGUUUUUUUUAUUUUGAAGGAAUGCAGAGUUGUUGUAUGAAAUAUAGGUGGCACAGAAUGACUACACUGUUACUUGUAUCUAAAUACAGCUGUAUGUUUUAUUUGUAUGGAAUGUGUAAUUAAUUUGUUGUUGAGGAUGAGUAAAUAUCUUGUGUGGGUUGAGUGCAUCGCUAAACAGAAUGAGCUACUCCUGUAUGCUGUAUAGUACACCACUAAAUAGAAUAAGCUUCUCCUGUAUGCUGUAUAAUGUUUGUUGUAUAC